GGUGGCUCAGUGGUAGAGCGCUUGCCUCACAUGCAUGAGGCUCUGAGUUCAAUUGCACAGCACCA
rnacentral:tRNA from 1 species